rnacentral:misc_RNA from 1 species
GACAGAGGGUGCAAACGUUAUUCGGAUUCACUGGGCGUAAAGGGUGCGCAGGCGGCCAGGUGUGUCGGAGGUGAAAUACUGCAGCUUAACUGUAGAGGUGCCUUCGAAACUACCCGGCUAGAGUAUCGGAGAGGCAACCGGAAUUCCAGGUGUAGCAGUGAAAUGCGUAGAUAUCUGGAGGAACACCGAUGGCGAAGGCAGCUUGCUGGACGAUUACUGACGCUCAGGCACGAAAGCAUGGGGAGCGAAAGGG